rnacentral:lncRNA from 1 species
UAUUAUCUUAUUUGCCCCUGUUUUUCUAGCUCAUGCUAAUAAGCCAGUCUCAUGGAAGUGCAAAGGAGGAGGAUCCAGGGAUGCAAUUGGCUUUGCACUCAUCCCACGUCUUAUAGCAAUCCCAACCUUUUGAACAACAGUAGCACUUAGUUUUCGUUGGGUCGCAGAUUGGGAUAUUGCUAGUAAAAAAACACCCAACUUGACCUUUAUGAUUCUUGUUUUCGCCGGUGCCCGCUUCUAUGUCUCUGCCUACAGGAUUAUAAAAAAAAAAAUGUCGUUACUGUUUGUACACAUGAUCACAUCACGAUAAAAUUAUAUCAUAUCUGGCUAGUAGGGGUAAGCAAUGAAUUGUGGGGAAAAACAAGGGAAGAAAGAGGGAAUAAAAGAAGAAAAUAUACUGUGUUCUAUGUCACUUACAUUGCCCAUGAAUAGCAGCAAAGCUUAGGAAGAGAAGAAUAAGCAGUAGUGGCUGGACGCUGUUCGUGCACUUCCCCAUGUAGGCGGUCGAUGAUGACUACAGUAUCACUCUUUGAGAAUAUCUUAGUUUUGCAUAUGCUUGGCCCAAUCGAUGUUUUGUGUUGAGAUUGGUAGGUGUAUAUGAGGAAGCCUGAAGGCUAUAGGCUGCAGGAAUUGAUUACCGCCUUGAAUAUGAUUAUUAUUUCUUCCAAAGUUAGGACACAC